rnacentral:rRNA from 1 species
GACGGAGGAUGCAAGUGUUAUCCGGAAUCACUGGGCGUAAAGCGUCUGUAGGUUGUUUAAAAGUCUGCAGUUAAAAGUUGAAGCUUAACUUCAAAAAUGCCGUAGAAACUUUUAAACUAGAGGAUGGUAGGGGUAGAGGGAAUUUCCAGUGGAGCGGUGAAAUGUGUAGAUAUUGGAAAGACCACCGAUGGCGAAGGCAACUCUACUGGGCCAUGACUGACACUGAGAGACGAAAGCUAGGGGAGCAAAUGGG